rnacentral:tmRNA from 1 species
GGGGGCGUAUGGAUUCGACGGGGGUUAUGAGGCUUAGGCAGCAUGUCGUGUUUCCGCGGUCACGUAAAAAAGCGGAAAAACUUACAAAAGCCAACGACGAACUGGCACUUGCCGCUUAAAUAAAGCGGCACGCAACCCCGGAGAGGUCUGCUAUCUGUGGGUAUGCGUCAUAAAGCGGGCUGGCGUCUGAUGAGGUCCCUGCAUCGGACGUAAGAUCAAAGGGAAUACGGGUACGGUGAGCCUGUCUGUUGGCGCUUAAGUACCCGAGAACUAAAAGACAGACUAAGCAUGUAGCGGCUUAAGAGUAGUACUUUCGGACGCGGGUUCGAUUCCCGCCGCCUCCACCA